AUAAUCUGCAAGAGGAAGGGGUCGUCCUCAACAAUUCUUCAUCGCGUCCUCCACGACACCAGAUGAAAUACUACACUUAUCCGGAACUAUAAAAGUACACAGUCAAACACCGUUGUCUCGAAGCUGAAGGGACCUAUGUUUAUACUUCGUGUGAUCCGAGACUCGAUACAACUGCAAAAUGGUGACUGAAGAAGGAAUAUGCGAAACCAAGCUUUCAUUUCGUCGCAACCGUAAGCUCGACACAUCAGGAACACGUUUGGCCGGAACUACUUUCACUCUGACUGAUUGAUGCUAUAGUAUUCUGAUGUGUAACAUCAGUGAGAAAAUGUAUGAAUAAAAGUCGAAUAGUUUUAUCAUCAAUACUAUAC